rnacentral:rRNA from 1 species
CCUACGGGUGGCAGCAGUGAGGAAUAUUGGUCAAUGGGCGUGAGCCUGAACCAGCCAAGUCGCGUGAGGGAUGAAGGUUCUAUGGAUCGUAAACCUCUUUUAUAAGGGAAUAAAGUCCGGCACGUGUGCAGUUUUGUAUGUACCUGAUGAAUAAGGAUCGGCUAACUCCGUGCCAGCAGCCGCGGUAAUACGGAGGGUGCGAGCGUUAUCCGGAUUUAUUGGGUUUAAAGGGUGCGUAGGCGGCCUUUUAAGUCAGCGGUGAAAGUUGGUGGCUCAACCAUAGAAUGGCCGUUGAAACUGGGAGGCUUGAGGAUGUUAGAGGUAGGCGGAAUGCGUGGUGUAGCGGUGAAAUGCUUAGAUAUCACGCAGAACCCCGAUUGCGAAGGCAGCCUGCCGAGCCAUGACUGACGCUGAGGCACGAAAGCGUGGGGAUCAAACAGGAUUAGAUACCCUAGUAGUC